UACAGAGGUGGCAAGCGUUGUUCGGAAUUACUGGGCGUAAAGCGCGCGUAGGCGGCUUUGCAAGUCGGGUGUGAAAUCCCCAGGCUUAACCUGGGAACUGCAUUCGAGACUGCAUUGCUAGAGUAUGGGAGAGGAAUGUGGAAUUCCAGGUGUAGCGGUGAAAUGCGUAGAUAUCUGGAGGAACACCGGUGGCGAAGGCGGCAUUCUGG
rnacentral:rRNA from 1 species